UCAAGUCGGAACACUGUCAGUCUCGCGGGGUAAUUUUGGGACAUGAGUCCUGAUAAAGAAUUAGCUCAUUAAUGCCGGGUAAGCAGGAGGCACGGCUCGCCUGGAACAGAGAAUAUUAAAACUGCAGAGGGAACUUAAUGCUAAUCCUCCCACCUAACAGCAUUAGAAUGGAUUUAUAAGCGCGGACACGAGGCAGCGACAUGUUAUUUAACAGAGAGCAUCAUGUAAGACGACAGGAGUGACCACCAAGACCCAGGUUAUCAUGACUUCUCCUUCUUCUUCCGCUCAUUUCUCUAAUUUUAGCUCGUGUAUGGAAAUAAAGCUUAAAAAGAAAACUCAAUUAGUUUAAGAUGACAAGUGGCUGAUCUUGUCAAUCCAGAAACAGAUCAGGACUGUAUAAAUAAAGGAUGUAGCCACUGUGUGAUUCUGCAUUGGUUUCUAGAUGGGUAGUUUGUAGUCAUGAUGGAAAAACAAACCAGAGCUUUUUAAAAAGUGUUUGUUAGGAAUAUUUUCUUCAGCCAGUCAUGUCAUCUUUUAGGGUAGUGGAGCGGUGUCACUCAAAUACCCAGAAUACUUUGGUGUUAGAUUCCUGGAGCCACGGGCCUCCUUAAACUAAAAUCUAUAAAUGUAAGGUAACAACCGAGACCUAAUGGUGCUGUGACAGCAACACGACUGAGUUUGAGACAGUGAAAAUACAUAUGGUAUGUUGUAUCUGUACAGGUUAGCUUACGAGCUAAAGUUACUUACCACAGAUGAAAGUUAAAACAAACUGUUAAAGCACGCAAACCAUCGUCAUAUGAGAAAUCUGACGCUACGACUCUCCGCAAGUUGUCCUUCAGGUCGUUAUCUUUGUAAUGUUUGUGUUUUUUAUCAAAAAGCACUCUGUUCUCUGACACGUAAACAAUCAGCUGGUCGGCCAUGUUGGAUAUACCGGUGAAUCUGACGUCGCAACAACACGCAAUCUGAUUGGUCAGAAGUGGACAGAAACUGUAGAAAAUUCGACCGUGAUCCGAAAAAAUAAAUGCCGCAAUAUCGCAGUAAGGGAAAACGUCGCUGAUGUGAACACUUGUAUUGACAGGAUACGGGUUCAAAAAAGAGAUAUUGACGUCUGAAAUAAUCGCAUGAAAAAAAUGCUCCCAGUGUGUAAGGACCUUCACUCAUUCAUAUCUAUACCUUUUUAUGAGGUGCUUCUUUGCUAUUCAUGGGAAAGGGGAUGUGUUGAUCACUGACUGUGGAAGCCAAAGCCAAUUUGUGAUUGAUUUGCAUUCAUGAACGUACACACGUGCCUACAAGCUUAUGAUUAAAUCUGUGUUUUUGGCCUUGUUUAUUAAUCAGGUUUUUAGUGACGAGGAUUUUAAUGCGCAAAUCUGCAUGCAGUUCACUAACAAUUCAUAAAUGAGACAUUCAUUCUCAACGGCAAAAGCGAAAACCAAGGGCCGGCACGUCAAAUCAGCUCUCAAAAUCGCCACCUCUUUUCCAGCUGUGUGAGCAUGUGCAUGAGUAAAAUCACACCAACUCAGUUUAUUUUUUGCAGCUUGAGACCUGAAACUGCACCUGUGAAUGAAGUUAGAGCUCUGUGAUCUUAUCCAGGUCCACUCUCAAUGAGAAGAAGAGGAGGAGAAGGAGGAGGAGGAGGGCUUAAGAGAUUCCUCCUCUCAUAAUACACAUCAAGUCCUUAUUGCCUCCAGGUUAUUAAAAGUAAAUGUUAUAUUGACUUUUCAAUCACUCAGCCUUAUUGCUUUCUGCAAAACCCUGACAGUGACCGCUCCUGAGUGAGGAUAUCUUCUUCCUCUCUGGCUACAUGCAGAGCCCAUGUAGCUAAAGCAGAGGUCGCCUAUAGGGUCAUAUAAUUAUGGUUUUCAUGAUAAUUUAUGGGACUUCAAGUGGAGAGUCUCUAAAAUCAGCCGCACGACAUGCGCAGCUGGUUUUUCAUUUAAUAUCUGCGGCUCCUGUGAUGCAUCUGCGAGUGAAAAAUGAUUGUUUAAUUGGAAAUGUACGAUUUUUUUUUCUCAGCAGUGAGAUCGCUCGUGUUUAGGAAACCCUCGGCUUAAAUCUGGUCCUUAAUAAAGCAGCUUUUUCCUCUCAGUCCCUGCCCGCUGACAGUUUCCAGAGCUGUGACAUUUAUAUCCAAAUGGUAAUUGAUUCAGAGGAAGCUGUUAGUAUGCAGCUACAAUUUAACAACGCUCCUCUGGGGGGGAGGAGGAGGGGGAGGCAGAGGAGGGGGGAGGGAUCAAGCCCUGGAAAGCAGAGACAAGAUUUUUUGUUGUUGUUUUCAGUGUUUUAAACAGCCAUCCCCCCCUCGAGAUGGGAGAAAAGAUUGGUAAAAGAGGCUUGUUUUUCCUUGUUUUCGCUUCCUGACUCUGACACACACAUACACUUUCACCCACAACCACACACACACACAUACACACACAGCCUGUGCCUGUGCAGUGAGAUGCUGCUGCUGCUGAGGCUGUUAUUGAUUGGAUGCCACCAGCAGAAUGGACUUUGUCACAGGCAGUCCUCUCCUCUCCUCUCCUCUCCUCCCAGGCUGUGUUUACUGGUGCGUCUUACCUGUGAAGUCGAGGCACACACACACGGACCAUGGACAACAAC